UACGGAGGGUGCGAGCGUUGUCCGGAAUCACUGGGCGUAAAGGGCGCGUAGGCGGCGCGAGUAGUCAACGGUGAAAGCCCGGGGCUCAACCCCGGGUCGGCCGUCGAUACUCUCGUGCUUGAGCACUGUAGAGGCAGGUGGAAUUCCGGGUGUAGCGGUGGAAUGCGUAGAUAUUCGCAAGAACACCAGUGGCGAAGGCGGCUCACUGGCCCGGUACUGACGCUGAGGUGCGAAAGCGUGGGGAGCAAACAGG
rnacentral:rRNA from 1 species